UGGUUGUUCAGAAUUUCUUUUGCUUUAUGAACCAUGUAGAAUGAAAAGAAAUCAGGUUAGAAUUUGGUACCCUGUGACAUGAUAAUGCCUACUAUCAUUACAAUUUCAACAAACUUGAACUGGGAUUCAAAUGAAUAGCGUGACUCCAAAGGAAAUGGUUUCAUAAUGGCGUCCAGUGUUCUCAAUUAACACAGGAAAGAUUAAUGGCUUUUUUUUUUUCCUUUGGUGGUCUCUGUUGAGGAAAAAACAUUAGUUGCCAUUUGAUUUUCCACUCAAUUGCGUUUACCAACUGGCAGACAAACCAACAGGGAAAGUUCCUCCAUCCAGGAGCUGGAUUUGCCAUGGGUGUGGCCCAGGCAUGUUACCGCAGCUGAUUCUCCACAGUCUGAAUAGUCCACAGAUAGCGACUCUCACCAAGGGGAAACUCGAAGACGGAACUAGGAGGAAAUACAGCAGCUGUCAAUAAUUAUUAGAGACUGUCCACUUCUCUUCCUUGUGUCUUAAUCCUCUAAUUAGGAACCUCUUCGUCCUUUGAGAACAGCCCAAGUGUAUGUCUGAUUAGCCACUUCCCAACAGGGAGCAAACUGCAUAUCAAAAUGGAUUUGACGCUUCUCAGUAAACUGACAAAUCAGCUAAAGACUGAGUAAAAUGAAAAUGUUAGAAAUAUCACCUCCCAAAAAAAGUGAUGACUGCUAUAGGCUGGAAGAGUUAUGAUCUGUCAGAAUCUUCUGUUGCGAGGAACAGCUUAGCCAUACACCAAUGCUCCAUGGCUGCUGCAGUCAAGAAUCUGAACACGGCCUGGAAUUCUCUGAGGAUGUUAUUCAUAAAGGCACAGUUAAUCAAACUCAGACCUCUCUUCAAAAUCUCACUGUACAAGCCAAACCUAUUGCCAGCAGAAGGAAGGUGCCAGACCAGAGAAGAAAUGCUAUACGCUGCCAGAAAGAAUAUUUUUGGAGCUUCCAGCCCCAACUUGCUGAUGCCCCUUCAGCCUGGGUCCCAGGAACAGACCAGAACACAGCCUACAGCAAGCAACGAAGCCAACUGGAUCCACAGCUUGAAAAGACUCUCUGAGCUGAACUGAAGCUAGAUCUUCUGAGCCACAGUUCCUCUCUGAAGACAGCUCGGUUAACAGCAUUUUAGGAAAAGUAAAUGGAAAUGGAAGCUUGGUUCUGCCCUUGGACACAGAUCCUAUUUUCCCAGAAUUGGAGGAGGUGACAAUGUUAAGGCUGACUCCUUGCAACCCAGUCGAGAAGGAUGAAAGAGAGUUUGUUUUAAAAUGGAAGAUGAAAGCCGAAUUAACAAAUAUGAAACAUGUUUAUUUCAUUUCAUUCUCUGCCAGAGUGUACAUUUGCUGCGGUAUAGAUAA
rnacentral:lncRNA from 1 species